CGCGGGGUGGGGCAAUUGGUAGCCCGUCGGGCUCAUAACCCGAAGGUCGCAGGUUCAAAUCCUGUCCCCGCAA
rnacentral:tRNA from 1 species